UACGUAGGGUGCAAGCGUUGUCCGGAAUUACUGGGCGUAAAGCGUGCGUAGGCGGUUUGUUAAGUCCGUUGUGAAAGCCCUGGGCUCAACCUGGGAAUUGCGCUUGGGACGGUAGGGCUUGAGAUCGGGAGAGGAGAGUGGAAUUCCCAGUGUAGAGGUGAAAUUCGUAGAUAUUGGGAGGAACACCAAAGGCGAAGGCAGUGUCCUGGGGAGUACCUGACGCUCAGGUGCGAAAGCCAGGGGAGCGAACGGG
rnacentral:rRNA from 1 species